UACGUAGGGGGCAAGCGUUGUCCGGAAUCAUUGGGCGUAAAGCGCGUGUAGGCGGUUCUGUAAGUCUGCUGUGAAAGUCCAGGGCUCAACCCUGGGAUGCCGGUGGAUACUGCAGGGCUAGAGUACGGAAGAGGCGAGUGGAAUUCCCGGUGUAGCGGUGAAAUGCGCAGAUAUCGGGAGGAACACCAAUUGCGAAGGCAGCUGGCUACACAAAUAUUGACACUGAGGCACGAAAGCGUGGGGAUCAAACAGG
rnacentral:rRNA from 1 species